UACAGAGGGGGCAAGCGUUGUUCGGAAUUACUGGGCGUAAAGGGCGCGUAGGCGGCCUUCUAAGUCGAACGUGAAAUCCCUGGGCUCAACCCAGGAACUGCGUCCGAGACUGGGAGGCUAGAAUCCGGGAGAGGGAUGUGGAAUUCCAGGUGUAGCGGUGAAAUGCGUAGAUAUCUGGAGGAACAUCGGUGGCGAAGGCGGCAUCCUGGACCGGUAUUGACGCUGAGGCGCGAAAGCCAGGGGAGCAAAC
rnacentral:rRNA from 1 species